rnacentral:rRNA from 1 species
AGCAGCAGCCGCGGUAAUACGAAGGGUGCAAGCGUUAUCCGGAAUUAUUGGGCGUAAAGAGCUCGUAGGCGGUUUGUCGCGUCUGCCGUGAAAGUCCGGGGCUCAACCCCGGAUCUGCGGUGGGUACGGGCAGACUAGAGUGAUGUAGGGGAGACUGGAAUUCCUGGUGUAGCGGUGAAAUGCGCAGAUAUCAGGAGAAACACCGAUGGCGAAGGCAGGUCUCUGGGCAUUAACUGACGCUGAGGAGCGAAAGCAUGGGGAGCGAACAGGAUUAGAUACCCCUGUAGUCCCUGUCUCUUAUAC